rnacentral:rRNA from 1 species
UACCAGCACCCCGAGUGGUCGGGACGUUUAUUGGGCCUAAAGCAUCCGUAGCCGGUUCUACAAGUCUUCCGUUAAAUCCACCUGCUUAACAGAUGGGCUGCGGAAGAUACUAUAGAGCUAGGAGGCGGGAGAGGCAAGCGGUACUCGAUGGGUAGGGGUAAAAUGCGCAGAUAUCAGGAGGAACACCGGUGGCGAAGGCGGGUCUCUGGGCCGAUACUGACGCUGAGGAGCGAAAGCGUGGGGAGCGAACAGG